UUAGCGCUAAUGAUUGGUUCCUGUAAGACUAUUCUAUAACAGAACACAGGAAGAGCAGUUCAAAAAAACACAGCUGUGGAAAGAAACAAUCAUACAAACAGCCCACAGCGGGGCUCACCAGCCUUUUCUUUCCAGUGGAUGCAAGCACGCUUUUCACAGGCAGGAGUGGUCUUCGCAACGUGGGGUGGUUUGUGUUUGUUUCAUUUUGUUUUGUUUUUUUCCUCUUCCCCUCCACCCCAGAUUAACCCCAUUGAAAAAUAACCUUUCUUAGGAUCUGAAAUGAAGCCCUCUGCAUCCUGGGGCUGGUUGGUUUAUGAAUUCAGGUAUCUUGCCAGAGUGGGACGCAUCCAACAAGAGGUGGAGUGCCCUCAUCAGAGAAGACAUGGCUAGCAGGCUGGUUGCCCCAGGAGAGAAAGAAGGAGUGAGGAAGAGGAGGAGGAGGAAAAUGAGAAGUUGGUAUACAGCACUUAAGUGGAAAAAGCAGCCUGAGUUUGGGACACUUCCCCUUUGUCUCAUCUACCGCUAACCCCUCCUUCCUAUCUAGCUCAGGGUCUCUGCCACCUUGCCUUGACUCAGAAGGGAGCCUCAGUUCGGUUUUCCCUCUAAUCCAACCAGAAAGGACUAAGUCUAAUCAAAGAACCCUCUGCCUUCCCUUCUAUGAUCUGCACAAUCCUUCCAUGGCAACCAGAAAGAUGUAAGCACUGCAGGGAAUACCACUGGUACAUCAAUGAGGCACAGGUAUGCUGCAUCCCUUCUGCAUGUGCCAAUUAGUAAAUGCUUGGAACAGCAACUUUGUAUUAGGACAGCUUUUUCUCCUGAGCUCUGUUAUAGGGUGCUGGGCAGCAGUAACACAGGAUAACAGACCAUCAUCUCCCCUGAUGAGCGUCCCAUUCUGCUGUCCUGCUUUCUCACAGUGAGACCUGAGCAACUGAAAACAAAGUCACCAGAAGUUCACCUCUCACUUCUAUCCUGACCUGGAGGCUGUUACAUGUUACAUGAUGCUACUGCACUGCAGCACCAAGUGAUGGAAAAAUACACUGCAUUCCCAGUGGACAGAGUUACUACGGUCUCCAAGAGGGCUGGGAGCAGAUACAAAGAUAGAGACCCUUGUUAGAGGAAGAGGGGAGCCACUUCAGCAGAGAGAAGCAGGCCAUAAGAUCACGUUUGUUGAAGCUAAUUUUUUUUUUACAAUCACAUAACAAAGAAUUGGGCUCCUGGGGCAGUGACUUACAUUGCUGGGUUCUCUAUCUAGGAUCAGGAGUGUUUUAGCAGUGAUACUCCACCUGCUCCUGCAGGAAAGGCAAACGCAUGACAGAGGAAGUGACUGUUGGUUUAUGAACACAUUAGCAGUUUCAACAGUUAUUCCAAGCACAACCAGUUGGAUUAAUAAAAGCAUUACCACAUUGGAUCAGGGCACUGUUCAUGUAACUUAGUAUCCUGUCAGCAAGAGAUGCUAGCACCAGCUCUCCAGAGAAAACUGCAAAAAACACUAUAACAUGUAAGAGCAAGGCUUCCCAAGCCCAAGUGACAGAGCACAUGUGCAUCCUGUCUCUCCUUCAGUGAGGACCUGACACCAAUUGCUAGGGCUGAAAUUUAGCAGGGUUUAUUUAUGUACUAAAAUAGCCAUAUUUCUGAUUCUCAAUGCUAGCGAAAACUUCACUUGAGAACCACAGAGGCCAUUCUGGUUAUGUAGACUGACCAGAAGCAUAAAACAGCCCCAUCACAUCUCAGUGGCAUCCGUGAAAAGCCCACUAGCUGAGCUAAAACACAUCCACAAGAGCAAGACAUAUGCAGAUCUUGCAAAGCAGCCAUUCUAUCACUGAGUUUUACCAACAGUUGACUAUGUUGUAAAAGGAACCCAAACCAACCAAAACAAAACAAAAAUCCCAGAAAGAUCCCCAGUGCCUUAUGUCUAGUCUGACUUUUAUCUACUUUUGGCUUUGAGUUGGAGAAUCUUCUAUAUAUUUACACUCCUAAACUAAAUUACACUUUACCAUGACAAGCCUGCUCUUUGUAUCUGUACUUAAUGACCAUGAACAAGCCAAUGCCUAAACCUGCAGUUUGAGAAAUAAAAUUGAUCACACUUGUUUCAUUUUGAGAA